GCGGUCGUGGUGGAACGGCAGACACACCAUCUUGAGGGGGUGGCGGGCGCAAGCCCGUGUGGGUUCAAAUCCCACCGACCGCA
rfam:Paenibacillus sp. VKM B-2647 B-2647_035, whole genome shotgun sequence.